AGGACGAACGCUGGCGGCGUGCUUAACACAUGCAAGUCGAACGAAGCAGCAAUGCUUAGUGGCGGACGGGUGAGUAACGCGUAGGUAACCUGCCUCAUUGUGGGGGACACCCAGCCGAAAGGUUGGCUAAUACCGCAUAAGCUAGUCGGUUGAAAUACUGAUUAGGAAAGAUUUAUCGCAAUGAGAGGGGCCUGCGUUCGAUUAGCUAGUUGGUGAGGUAAUGCUCACCAAGGCGACGAUCGAUAGCUGGUCUGAGAGGACGAUCAGCCACACUGGAACUGAGACACGGUCAGACUCC
rnacentral:rRNA from 1 species